GACGAACGCUGGCGGCGUGCCUAAUACAUGCAAGUUGAGCGAUGAAGCUUGGUGCUUGCACCAAUUUGAAGAGCAGCGAACGGGUGAGUAACGCGUGGGGAAUCUGCCUUUGAGCGGGGGACAACAUUUGGAAACGAAUGCUAAUACCGCAUAAUAACUUUAAACAUAAGUUUUAAGUUUGAAAGAUGCAAUUGCAUCACUCAAAGAUGAUCCCGCGUUGUAUUAGCUAGUUGGUGAGGUAAAGGCUCACCAAGGCGAUGAUACAUAGCCGACCUGAGAGGGUGAUCGGCCACAUUGGGACUGAGACACGGCCCAAACUCCUACGGGAGGCAGCAGUAGGGCAUCUUCGGCAAUGGACGAAAGUCUGACCGAGCAACGCCGCGUGAGUGAAGAAGGUUUUCGGAUCGUAAAACUCUGUUGGUAGAGAAGAACGUUGGUGAGAGUGGAAAGCUCAUCAAGUGACGGUAACUACCCAGAAAGGGACGGCUAACUACGUG
rnacentral:rRNA from 1 species